rnacentral:rRNA from 1 species
GAUGAACGCUGGCGGCGUGCCUAAUACAUGCAAGUCGAACGCUGGAAAUCUAGCUUGCUAGAUUGAAGGAGUGGCGAACGGGUGAGUAAUACAUAAGCAACCUACCCACGAAGACUGGGAUAAUCUCUGGAAACGGGGACUAAUACCGGAUAGGUAAUCGGAAGGCAUCUUCUGAUUAUUAAAGGUUAAAAACACUGGUGGAUGGGCUUAUGGCGCAUUAGUUAGUUGGUGAGGUAACGGCCCACCAAGACGAUGAUGCGUAGCCGGCCUGAGAGGGUGAACGGCCACAUUGGGACUGAGACACGGCCCAGACUCCUACGGGAGGCAGCAGUAGGGAAUUUUCAGCAAUGGGGGAAACCCUGACCGAGCAACGCCGCGUGAGUGAUGACAGCCUUCGGGUUGUAAAGCUCUGUUGUAAGGGAAGAACGGUAGAUAGAGAAUAGCUAAAUGACGGUACCUUACCAGAAAGCCACGGCUAACUACGUG